GGUGUGAUUUUUGGACUUGUUGGUGAAUAUGCUUGUGAAGGGCUAUACCUUGCUGAAGGAUUGUAACUUGGUGAGGUUGGACUGUAAGUUGGUGAGGUGGGACUGUAUCCAGGCGAAGUUGGGCUGUAGGCAGGUGAGGUUGGGCUAUAUGAUGGCGAGGUUGGGCUGUACGAUGGAGAGGUUGGGCUAUAUGAAGGUGAGGUUGGGCUGUAAGAUGGAGAGGUUGGGCUGUAAGAGGGUGAGGUAGGGCUGUAAGAGGGUGAUGUGGGGCUGUAAGACGGAGACGUGGGGCUGUAAGCCGGAGAGGUUGGGCUAUACGCAGGUGAGGUUGGGCUGUAUGCUGGAGAAGUUGGGCUGUAGCUCGGAGAUGUAGGGCUGUAGCUCGGAGAUGUGGGGCUAUAGCUAGGAGAUGUUGGGCUGUAGGAAGGAGACGUUGGUGAAUAAGAUGGGCUUGUGGGAGAAUACGCAGGGCUUGUAGGACUAUAUCCAGGAGAACUAGGACUAUAUGUUGGGGACGUAGGGCUGUAACCAGGGGAAGUAGGACUGUACCCAGGUGAGGUGGGGCUGUAUCCAGGAGAUGACGGGCUGUAUCCAGGAGAUGAAGGGCUGUACCCUGGAGAUGAUGUAGGAGAAAACGCCAUCCCGCCCACAUACGGAGAAAACUGAGCAUCUGAAACAGGAGAUAACCGAAGAUUUGGGCUCAGCAUAUAAUUUGGUGACAUCAUGCCAUCAUGAUAUGGGGUCCCUGAGAUGGGUGAACGGCCAGGAGUCAUGCCAAACUCCAGUCCACCUUCCAUAUAACUGGGCAGAGGGAUCUCAAUAGCUUGUUUAGCAUCUCUUCAUUCAUAUACAAAGCACAAUCACCUGUGCCAAUAGGUGCAAGCUGUCCUAACAUGAUAUUCUCAGUUACACCCCUGAGGUAAUCUGUUUCUGCAUACACAGCAGCAUCAAGAAGAAUGUCCACUGUUUCUUCAAAGGAGCAUCUCAUCAUGGGGCCAGUAUCGUUGCGAUUGAUACCAUGACGGGUGAUGGCCAUCAAGUGACCACGAUAUGUCAUGGUAUCACACAAUAUAGCCAAAUGUCUAUAGUUCACGUAAGACCCAUCAAAUGAUAUGACAACACGCAACUCAUCCAGCAAGGCUUUGCGAACUGCCUCAAUGCCAAGAACUUCAAUAACUUCAAUCAAAUGAUUGCUUGUUGUCCUACUUGCAUCUACAUCUUCAUGGCAAAUUACAGCUAAAAGAUUAACACCUUCGGUGUCAAGCAUCCACUCAUUCUCAGCCUUGAAGCCUUCAUUUUCAUCAAACUUAUUUACCUUGCCAUUCUUUAUGAACACCUUAUUGAUAUCUGGUAUGCCUCGAAGAGCCAUUUCUGUAAGCAUGUUACCCUCAAUCUUUUUGAGGAAGACAUCAUCCUCAGCAGAUUCAUCAUUCAACUCACCUUUAGGGGCUUCAUCAUUCAUAAUACGAAUACGAAGGAUAAGCUUUUCAGCAUUAUCAUCAUUAAAUAUGCACGUUAGAUCACUAUCAAAUUCAGCAUUAAUCUUAUGGGAAAUAUCAGCCAUGUUGAGUUUCUUAUCCACCAUCAUUUCUCUGUUUAACUCUAUGCGAAGCAACCACGGAGAGAUCUUGUCGGGGUCAACAUCAUCAUCUGGCAUCUCAAAGUAGGACGUCACAAAUUCAACAUCUUCCUCAAUAAUAGUGCUCUUAGGAUCUGGAUCGUACCAUACCUCUGUUGCUUGUGUUACACUCCGCAAGGUUGUAUACUCCAGAGCGCACUGGACAUUUUUGGCCUUCUCCUUAGUUUUGCUUACACCAGGCUUCAAGUAUACCGAGAGNAGGUAAUCUGUUUCUGCAUACACAGCAGCAUCAAGAAGAAUGUCCACUGUUCUCAAAGGAGCAUCUCAUCAUGGGGCCAGUAUCGUUGCGAUUGAUACCAUGACGGGUGAUGGCCAUCAAGUGACCACGAUAUGUCAUGGUAUCACACAAUAUAGCCAAAAUGUCUAUAGUUCACGUAAGACCCAUCAAAUGAUAUGACAACACGCAACUCAUCCAGCAAGGCUUUGCGAACUGCCUCAAUGCCAAGAACUUCAAUAACUUCAAUCAAAUGAUUGCUUGUUGUCCUACUUGCAUCUACAUCUUCAUGGCAAAUUACAGCUAAAAGAUUAACACCUUCGGUGUCAAGCAUCCACUCAUUCUCAGCCUUGAAGCCUUCAUUUUCAUCAAACUUAUUUACCUUGCCAUUCUUUAUGAACACCUUAUUGAUAUCUGGUAUGCCUCGAAGAGCCAUUUCUGUAAGCAUGUUACCCUCUAAUCUUUUUGUAGGAAGACAUCAUCCUCAGCAGAUUCAUCAUUCAACUCACCUUUAGGGGCUUCAUCAUUCAUAAUACGAAUACGAAGGAUAAGCUUUUCAGCAUUAUCAUCAUUAAAUAUGCACGUUAGAUCACUAUCAAAUUCAGCAUUAAUCUUAUGGGAAAUAUCAGCCAUGUUGAGUUUCUUAUCCACCAUCAUUUCUCUGUUUAACUCUAUGCGAAGCAACCACGGAGAGAUCUUGUCGGGGUCAACAUCAUCAUCUGGCAUCUCAAAGUAGGACGUCACAAAUUCAACAUCUUCCUCAAUAAUAGUGCUCUUAGGAUCUGGAUCGUACCAUACCUCUGUUGCUUGUGUUACACUCCGCAAGGUUGUAUACUCCAGAGCGCACUGGACAUUUUUGGCCUUCUCCUUAGUUUUGCUUACACCAGGCUUCAAGUAUACCGAGAGAGAGGGUGUUUUAAUUUUCUUAGCAACAUUAAUAAUCUCCCUCAACCUUGGAACACCUAAAGUUAACAAUUCUUGGCACUCACACCAGCAUAGUGAAAUGUAUUGAGGGUCAUCUGUGUAGCAGGUUCACCAAUGGAUUGUGCAGCAACACAUCCUAUCAUUUCACCAGCAGCAACAAGUGACUGAAGAAAACGGGAUUCUAUCUCGCCAACUACCCAGUCAAAAGCCUCACGGGUAAGUCUGUACUCCUUCAGGACCCUUUUACUUGCUAAAGCACUACGAAGCAAUAUAUUGAAGAAAAGAGUAGCAUUCUUCUGUGCUUCCAAACUCAGAUAAUCAUCACCAACAACCACCUUAAGCCUUUCUUGUAACUUAUCAACAGCUUCUACAAUCUCCAUUGGAUGCAUAUCAGACGGUCUCCGAAAAUCAACUCUAAAGGUCUUCUGUGCAUUCAAAACAAGCCUCUUGAUGUUGACAGGGAGGGGCCAAGAAUUGUCACCCGUGGUGGCAAUCUCUGUUCCAAGUUGAUACCUAUCGGCUUCAAGUUUCUGAACCUCUGCAUCAAACACACUGCGGAUUUCACGAAUCGUUUUCAGAUCUUCCACAGCUUCAGGUAACAUAUAAUUAGGAUUCCAGUUUGGGUGAUCAAUCUCAUAUUUGUACAUGUCAUUGAAAUCCGAUCUCUUCAACUUCAGUGAUUCCAAAGGCUGUGAUUCAAUCCAAACUGCAUCCAUACCAUCUUCCCCGUACAGAAACUGAAUCACAUCACCUAACGAAUUCCUAACAGUCCCAUCAUACUUAACCAUGAUAUCUUCCAUAGCCUUCACCAAUCGCCUCUGAAUAUAUCCAGUCUCAGAAGUUUUCACUGCAGUGUCAAUAAGACCUUCCCUACCACCCAUGGCAUGGAAAAAGAACUCUUGAGGAGACAAUCCUCGAAGAUAUGAGUUCUCCACAAAACCACGACUCUCUGGACCAUAAUCAUCUUUGGUGAAGUGUGGAAGUGUGCGAUCCACAAAACCAAAAGGAAUUCGCUUGCCUUCAACAUUCUGCUGACCCACACAUGCAGUCAUCUGAGAAAUAUUGAUGAAACUUCCCUUAGACCCUGCAGUGACCAUAGCUUUGAGGUUGUUACUUUCUGCCAAGCUCUUCUGAGCACUGCUUCCAGCAUCAUCACGAGCCUUAUUCAACACCUGAAGGCACAAAACAUAUAUAAGGGAAUCACCAGGCUGCAGCAAGGAAAUCAAAAUUUUUAACAAACCUGGUUAACUCUGUUCUCGAACGAUUCCAUCAUUGUUCUUCCUGGCUCAGCUUCCAAUUGCUUUUCUUGUGCAGCCCUGAUAAGUUCAUUCACCUCAUUCUUAGCUUUGUUAAUAGUUUCAGAGAUCUUCGUCAUUGUAUCAUGAUCAGCAAUUGUAUCUCCAAUUCCCAUGCUAAAAGCGUUCUGCAAAAGCCAAUAAUUGACCAGCCAUUGUGUAUGUCCCAAAAAUUUCCGAGCUGCAUCUGGACCGACUUCUUCCCUGAGACCAGUAUACAUUAUAUUAAACACAUAAAUAUGAAUAAAGAAUCUUUCGGGCUUUCAGUUCAUUAUUAUAAUAUUUAUUACUCCUUGUUUCAUGUGCCAUAUCAUAUGUUUUGAUGUCACAAAUGCUAUAAUAUUCACACAGAAGAGCUACUAGAGUGGAGGAAGACUGAUAUAUGCAAAAGCUAAAUUGUUAAAGAGUACAGAAAUUUUCAAUAAGAUACUCAUGUAGUUUUAAACUUCUGAAGAAAAUUAAUCUUCUCUUCUACAAAUUCCGAUGGAGUAAGCAAAGGAACACUUUCUUGAAAUGGCAUUAGUUUUAUUGAUAUCUAUAAUGAGUGCAAGCAUGGAGAUUGAUAAAGUGUUUUGUCUGCAAAGAAACAGUACCCAUUUUUUUGUGCCAAAAGGAGAAUCUUUUUGCUAGUGAAAAGAGAGGGUAUUUCAUUGGUAACUCAAGCAAGUUCUUUUGAAAGUAUUACUUCUUCAAUCAACAUAUUGCGAGUUCUGACUCAUUUGCGAGAUCCUAGAAUAUAUAAAUAAAAGACACCAACUUCAUUUAAAGUAUUUGCAUACAUAUGCUCCCAAUCCCCAUUGCCCAUAGAGCAAUGGACCAAUUUAAUACAACAUGAAUUCUUCAGAAGAUAAAAGUGAAAGUCAUGCUUUUGCUCUUAAAUUUAAGGUUGAACGAAAAAUGUGACCCGCAAACAGCCCCAUACCUCCAUUUUACCCAACUUUCCACUUAUUACAUUUUGCUACUAGAUACUUCAGGUAUGUUACCCGCAAUCAGCCCCAAUUCAUAAUAUGGAUAAGUUGGGUGGGCGUUUAGGAGACAAUAGUUUCCUUUCAAAACCCACCAAAUGCAGAAAUGGUACUGCAAAAAUUCCAGAAAGAACGUACCAAAUAACAUGUAUGAGACUUCCACUAGAUGACCCGAGUGUUUUCUUGCAUAGGGUGCCUGAAAGUAACUCCCCUUUUUCUAUCCGUACUUGAGUAUCCCCAGGAGUAAUAAAUCCUUUUUCAGUUUCUUGAUGCCAUGAAGAAUACCUUAAUAGAUUUAUCUGUCUUGGAAUGAUUAAAUUAAAUACUUGUUUCCCAGUCCAAAGAGGCUUAGGUUUCAGAAUUGUUGGAGCAGGUACUUUGCCAUCAAAAUCCUCCCACCACAUAAGGAUGUUCAUAAAAACAUCCUGCGAACAAUACAGACAGCGAUAUCAGAUUGAAUGUGGACACUUACCUAAAAAUUACAUAAUGAUGACAGAAAAUCAAAUGUUACCUUGUCAAUAAAAGUAUCUCUCUUAGUGAUUUUGCGACAUCCUAGUAGUGUAUCCUGCACAAUACCCAUUACAGGUCGAUUUGAUUGAGGUGACACGAUGCAUUUUGGAACCAUCAUUAAUUCCAGAACUUCGGCUCUAGUUUCAAAUGACUGGGGCACGUGCAUAUUCAUUUCAUCUCCAUCAAAAUCAGCAUUGUAGGGUGAGGUAACAGACAGAUUUAAGCGGAAUGUUGAAUAUGGCAUAAUCUUGAUUCUGUGGCCCAUAAUGGACAUCUUAUGGAGACUCGGUUGCCGAUUGAACAGGACAAAGUCUCCAUCAUUUAAAUGUCUCUCAACCUGUACCAUCAAAUAAUAGGAAUCAGGUGUCAAAAGGAAUCCAAUGCUUGAUCAUUCUCAAUUAUAUAGCUGGGAGUCUCACCUUAUAUCCAAGUUCUAGAUGCUGAUCACUACUCUUUUUCAAGUACCGGAGAUCAAGCCUCUGUCCAUCAUCCCUAAUAAUAUAUUUUGCGCCAGUUUUACCAGGAGGGGGAUGAGGUCCAUAUUCCACAAGCUCUUUCAAUCUAUUUUCAAGGUCAAUAUCUGGUUAACAAGAAUAACCAAAAAGUAUAGAGGGAUCACUAUCAAGAAAUAUGGUAAGAGUGCCUAACCUUUCGAUGUUAUAUGGAGUUACAGUUUCAGGAUAUGUAAGAUUUAAGGCAAUACUCCAAGGCACACCCAGCUGGUCGAUGUUGAUUGUUGGGUCAGGUGUAAUCACAGUCCGAGCCGAAAAAUCUACUCGCUUACCCAUCAAGUUACCUCUGAUCCUACCAUCUUUUGCCUUAAGCCUGCUACAUAUUGAUUUAAUGGGUCUGCCAGAUCUUUGGGUAGCCUGAUGUAUACAAGGAUACUUCACUUGUUAGAUAAAUGAUGUUCCAGGAACUGCAUCCACAGUCUCAAUAUACUGAAAUAAUAUAACAUACUCUUGGUUGACCAGGUAAAUCGUUAUCAAAGUAUGUAGCCACAUGGAACUGCAGCAACUGUGCAAACUCAGAGAUGAUGUGUGCAGGAGCCCCAUUCCGCUCCUGCCUCUUUAAGUUCUCAUUAUGCCUAAUGAUCAUGGCCAGUUGAUGAGUUAAAUCAUCCUGCAUAAAUUGAUUCAAUUAUUAGAUUCUCCUGCAACUUAAAAGCAGCAAUCCGAGGAACAUGCAAUUGAUUGACUUGAUCAGUUUGCAGUGAACAGAACCCGAUACACUUAUCUGACCUAAAGGAACAAUUAGGGGUAAUCUAAACACCCAUGACAUUGUAGAGAUCAAAAGGAGAAGUCAUGCCUCACUCCGAGAAGAAGUAUCCAUCAUUACAGAAGGCCUAACUGGAGGAGGAGGGAUUGGAAGAACUUGAAGAAUCAUCCAGUCAGGGCGAGCAUAUUUUGGAUUCAAGCCCAACAACUGACAAUCUUCAUCAGUAAUUCUCUUCAGUAUGCUGAGCACCUGAAACAAAAAGGAAAUAGAGAUUGUUGGGAUUAGCGCAUAAAUCAAUCUAUCACAUUAUCCAGGCUGGAAAAAAAAGUUUGAAUCCCUAUUCUCUGGCAAUUUAUGAUAUAUGAUACCUUCUCUGCAGAGAGAAGUUGUUUUCGUUCAACAGGUUCAGGCAUCUGGUCCUGGUCAUCACUUUUCUUCUUCUGAAUCUUGUAUUCAGCAACCAUUUUCAUCCCAUCUAUAGAAAUCUUUGGCUGCUGAGCACCGCAUCCACCCCUAGACUUCUUCACAGGUUCUUCCGAAUCUUGACCUCGCACAUCGAUCUCAUCACCUCCUUCACAUUUGGAUUUGUUUUUGCAGGCAUCUAAUAUCUUCUUUAAUCUAUUCUUAGGGUUUCUAAUUCUCAUUGCUUGCUUGAACUUGGGAUCGUCCUAGAAAAAUUAACAAGGGAUCAAAAUACAUUGCAAAAGAAAACGAUUGUUCCAACUUCCAAGUAACUUUAUUUCCAUUUGAAGUAUAAUAUUCAGGCAAUAAUGAAAAUAACUAACUUUUACAACAGCAACACUCCUAGGAGAUGCAUCCAGAUGAUGAAAUACCUCAAACUGCUUCUAUCUUACCAAUAUGCAUUUCUAUAAAAGUAACACAAUUAUUGAAGACAUAACAGAACCUAGAAGCCUAAAACUGGAUCGUUGCUAGUCAUAAGUCUUACUAUCCAGUCACUCUUGCAAGUAAUAAGAAUGUUACAAUUAAAUCAGUUGCCCAGUUCAGGAUGGUCAUGAAUAAGACAGAAGUCUGACCCUCCUAGUAUACGAACAUAUACAUGAAAUAAGCAUUUUCCGUGAAUCCAGCAUAUGUUAUACACUUCUGAAAAAUUCAGUCUGCUACUCAGGCCUCACAACAGCGGAAUCAAUAGUCAUACCCAAUAUGAACCAAGUGAGCAUGACUGUACAAAUUCAUACUACUUAAACCGAAAACGUCCAUAACUUCAAUCUAACUACUCGGGAAAUGUACAAUACCUCAUCCGCUAAAAUCUUAGAGCAAUUGAAGCAGACACUGCGGAGAAUACUGAGCACAGUCUUCAUGAAGCCAAUGUGAAACAUAGGUUUGGCGAGCUCAAGGUGACCGAAGUGACCGGGGCAGUCAGCCAUGUUCGCCAUACAAGUCUCGCACUUCAUCUUCCGAUCAAUCGUCCCCAGACGCGGGUCGCUCAAACCACCGAUCUUCGGCUUGCCUCUUUCCGUCGUCUCGCUGUGCUCUAUAUGCACAACAGACAUUUGUCUCUACAAAACACACCAUAAAACAAUAGACCAUCAUUUCCAACUCAAUCACACACUCAAUGCCGAAACUGAAAGUUCAAAACAUUCAAAGAAGUGAGAAUUACGAUCUCAUCGGGGCUGAGAAUGCCGAAUUGGACGACGCGGACUUUCGCGACCUCUGCCGGCGAGAAGGGGAACCGCAGAUCCAUUGCGACACCGGAGAUUCUACCCUAGGGUUUUCGAUUAUGAUUUAUUAUGCUAGCUGAUAUAUAAUAAUUCCAAAAUUAGAAACAAAUAUGGUUUUCAAGUACUUCAAAUUAUUCGCGGUUUCUGUUAAGUAACUGAUUUUUGGGGUUUUUGAAGAAAACUUUUUUCACGCUGCGCUCUUCUCUGAAGGAGGAGAGGCGGCUUUGAGACCAAAGAAGAGAAUGAGGGGUUGAAGGGGUAUUUAAAGAGAUGGAUGGCUUCGAAGUCGGCGCUUAAUGGGGUUGUUUGGCUACACAGUUAUGAGCUGGACAUCUUCCUCUCGUUUGGUCCAUCUAUUAAAAAAUCUUCUUAAUCUAUUUUUAAACAUAAUUUCAUCAACUAUUAUCCUUAUAAUUUUCAUUUUUUGUAAGACUCAUUUUUCACUUAUCAAGUAUACAAUUAAUUUUUAUUAAAAUUCAUGUCACCCUCCUUUAUAAAGAUCUUUGAGAAAUGAAGGGAGUGUUAAUUCCAAAUAUUUGGUAAAAUAAGUACAUAAAUACUCAUUUCGUCCCAACUUUUAGUAUCAAUUUAAGAAUGACACGUGUUUUAAUAAAGUUGUUAAGUGUGUUGUGAGUGGAAUAAGGGUCUCGCAUUUUACGUGAAUGUUAAAAUAAUUAAAGUGGAGUAAGGGUCUCACCUACUUUUACUAAAAAUAAAAAUGAAUAUCAAAAUAUGGAACGGCCAAAAAAGGAAAUAUGAAUACUAAAAGUUGGGACGAAGAUAGUAGUUUACAAGCUCUACAAAUAAGUUUCUACAAUUUAUAAGCUUUUCAAACUACAAACUUUUUACCAUAAAUUACUUUUUCAUAAUUUUAUACUUCCUUCAUCCCAAUUCNCUUAUAAUUUUUCAUUUUUUUGUAAGACUCAUUUUUUCACUUAUCAAGUAUACAAUUAAUUUUUAUUAAAAUUCAUGUCACCCUCCUUUAUAAAGAUCUUUGAGAAAUGAAGGGAGUGUUAAUUCCAAAUAUUUGGUAAAAUAAGUACAUAAAUACUCAUUUCGUCCCAACUUUUAGUAUCAAUUUAAGAAUGACACGUGUUUUAAUAAAGUUGUUAAGUGUGUUGUGAGUGGAAUAAGGGUCUCGCAUUUUACGUGAAUGUUAAAAUAAUUAAAGUGGAGUAAGGGUCUCACCUACUUUUACUAAAAAUAAAAAUGAAUAUCAAAAUAUGGAACGGCCAAAAAAGGAAAUAUGAAUACUAAAAGUUGGGACGAAGAUAGUAGUUUACAAGCUCUACAAAUAAGUUUCUACAAUUUAUAAGCUUUUCAAACUACAAACUUUUUACCAUAAAUUACUUUUUCAUAAUUUUAUACUUCCUUCAUCCCAAUUCAAUAGGCCACAAGACAAGGCUUGGACAUGGAUAUUAAGAAGCGAAUAGUUUAUAAUAAAAUACGAGAGAGAAAGUAGCUUUUUUUAGAGUAAAUUUGUGAAAAAAGUAGGAGAGAGUAGAGAUAAUUUUGUGGGAUCACAAUGAUAUUUGAUGUACAUAAUGAGUUGUGCGAAGGUGUUUGUUAUAUACUAUGAUUUUUUAUUUUAGGAAGUGACCUAUUGAAUUGGAACGUCCAAAUAAGGAUUCAUGACAUAUUUAAAUGGAACUGAGGGAGUAAUAUAUUUUACAAAAAUUAUUCAAUUAUACUUUAUUACUAUUUUCAUCAUAUACACUUUAAACCACUUUGCAAAAAUUAACUCAAUCAUAUAAAUACUUUCACAACUUAUAAGCUCUUACAAAAAUACAUUUUUAAAAUUUUUGAAACAUUUUAUAAAUUGCUACAAUUAUAAAUUUCUUAAAAUAAGCUUAUCCAAACAUCCCCUUAAUUCUACAACAAAAUUUUAACAAAUGGAGUAUAAAUGAGCUAUGAUUGGUAACAUAUUUUUCCUACAAAAAUAAUAAGCGAUAGGUAACAUAACUAGCGUGGGAACUAAGAAUCAAUCUGGUCUAUUAAUUUGAUUAAAUGAUCAUGAUUGAUUUCCAUAUUGAACAAUACAUAUAUAUGAUAAUGCAUCAGUUUAUGCCAGAAAUUAUGCCAUGCUGAUAAAUAAUACUCCAUUCGUCCCAAACGAAAUGUCCUAUUUCUUUUCGGUACGGAAAUUAAGAAAUGUGUAUAAAAUAGAUUAAGUGGGUUGGUGAAAAUUAUUUAAAUAUUAAGUAUAGAGAGAGAGUGUAGUGCCAAAAAAGGAAACAUGACAUUUCGUUUGAGAUAGCCCAAAAAGGAAAACAGUACAUUUCGUUUGGAACGGAGGGAGUAUAGUGCAUACUUAUAAUAAACAACGUAGUUUUAAGUGUGGUGCCCACUUCGGGGGAGCUUGUUGGAUUUAUAAUAAACGACGUAGUUUUCAUAUAUACAAAAAAUCCUCUUCCAUUGAGAUGGUUUCUUACAUUCUUGGCUUCAGCUGCGCAUGGCUUAUCUAUGCAUGCAUUAUUUUAGUUAUAAGCAAUUUAGUAAAUAAAAUAACAAAAUGGAUGGAUUAACAUUGCCACAAAACAUGAUGACACUAUUAGUAUUUUACUUCAAAGGGGAAGAAAAAAAAACUUUAUACGAAUGAAAGAAUGCCAUGUUAAACAAUCUCUCUUAGCCAAAUUGGAAAGCUAUGAGACCAAACAAAUGGACUACAAAUUAAAAAAGAGGUUAUAAAGUGACACGGGACUUAUACGCCACGUGCGGAGUUCAGCUGCCCGACUGCCGGAGUUCAGCUGCCCGACUGCCGGCCUGGUAUGAAAAUGAUUGGGUUAGGGUAGGGUGUCCCAUGCAACAAAUCCUCAUUCCACCUUCCCUUUGUCAGUUUCAUUUACCACACUAAGCCAUGUAAACAAUACCAACACAAUCACAAAAUCAGCAAAUCUAUUCGAACUCGCUUGGCCUAUGGUGAAAGCAGGAUGGAAAAGAAAGCAAAAUAAGCAAAGGUAAAUAUACCUGCUUGGACUGGAAGGAGAAAAAGAUGGUGAUGUUGGGCUGCAAAACCACAGAAAAUAAUAUGUCAAGGUAGCAUUUGAAAGAGAGUUUCACCAGUUCAGAAUAUAUCCUAGUCUUGUCGGGGAAAUAAAACAAAAAGAGUAAUACUCUAGGGAACAAUUUAUCCAGCUUCCUCUGUGGACAAUCAAGUAUAGAAACAGAGUAAUACAUUUAACCAAGGUUAUAUUUGUUAGCAAACUUGAAGAGCAAAAAUUAAAAUAAGGCUUGCCAAAAGUUACCUGAGACUCGGAGAAUAUGGACUGUACGGACUUGAAGGUGUGAUUUUUGGACUUGUAGGUGAAUAUGCUUGUGAAGGGCUAUACCUUGCUGAAGGAUUGUAACUUGGUGAGGUCAGACUGUAAGUCGGUGAGGUGGGACUGUAUCCAGGUGAAGUUGGGCUGUAGGCAGGAGAGGUAGGGCUGUAUGAAGGUGAGGUUGGGCUGUACGAUGGAGAGGUUGGGCUGUAAGAUGGUGAGGUUGGGCUGUAAGAGGGAGACGUGGGGCUGUAAGCCGGAGAAGUUGGGUUAUAAGCAGGUGAGGUUGGGCUGUAAGAGGGAGACGUGGGGCUGUAAGCCGGAGAAGUUGGGCUAUACGCAGGUGAGGUUGGGCUGUAUGCUGGAGAAGUUGGGCUGUAGCUCGGAGAUGUAGGGCUGUAGCUCGGAGAUGUGGGGCUAUAGCUAGGAGAUGUUGGGCUGUAGGAAGGAGACGUUGGUGAAUAAGAUGGGCUUGUGGGAGAAUAGGCAGGGCUUGUAGGACUAUAUCCAGGAGAACUAGGACUAUAUGUUGGGGACGUAGGGCUGUAACCAGGGGAAGUAGGACUGUACCCAGGUGAGGUGGGGCUGUAUCCAGGAGAUGACGGGCUGUACCCUGGAGACGAUGUAGGAGAAAACGCCAUCCCGCCCACAUACGGAGAAAACUGAGCAUCUGAAACAGGAGAUAACCGAAGAUUUGGGCUCAGCAUAUAAUUUGGUGACAUCAUGCCAUCAUGAUAUGGGGUCCCUGAGAUGGGUGAACGGCCAGGAGUCAUGCCAAACUCCAGUCCACCUUCCAUAUAACUGGGCAGAGGGAUCUCCAUAGCUUGUUUUAGCAUCUCUUCAUUCAUAUACAAAGCACAAUCACCUGUGCCAAUAGGUGCAAGCUGUCCUAACAUGAUAUUCUCAGUGACACCCCUGAGGUAAUCUGUUUCUGCAUACACAGCAGCAUCAAGAAGAAUGUCCACUGUUUCUUCAAAGGAGCAUCUCAUCAUGGGGCCAGUAUCAUUGCGAUUGAUACCAUGACGGGUGAUGGCCAUCAAGUGACCACGAUAUGUCAUGGUAUCACACAAUAUAGCCAAAUGUCUAUAGUUCACGUAAGACCCAUCAAAGAUAUACAACACGCAACUCAUCAGCAAGGCUUUGCGAACUGCCUCAAUGCCAAGAACUUCAAUAACUUCAAUCAAUGAUUGCUUGUUGUCCUACUUGCAUCUACAUCUUCAUGGCAAAUUACAGCUAAAAGAUUAACACCUUCUGUGUCAGCAUCCACUCAUUCUCAGCCUUGAAGCCUUCAUUUUCAUCAAACUUAUUUACCUUGCCAUUCUUUAUGAACACCUUAUUGAUAUCUGGUAUGCCUCGAAGAGCCAUUUCUGUAAGCAUGUUACCCUCAAUCUUUUUGAGGAAGACAUCAUCCUCAGCGAUUCAUCAUCACUCCUUAGGGUCUUCUCAUUCUAAUACGAAUACGAAGGAUAAGCUUUUCAGCAUUAUCAUCAUUAAAUGCAAGAUACAUCAAAUCAAUUAAUCUUAUGGAAAAUAUCAGCCAUGUUGAGUUUCUUAUCCACCAUCAUUUCUCUGUUUAACUCUAUGCGAAGCAACCACGGAGAGAUCUGUCGGGGUCAACAUCUCAUCUGGCAUCUCAAAGUAGGACGUCACAAUUCAAUAUCUUCCUCAAUAAUAGUGCUCUUAAGAUCUGGAUCGUACCAUACCUCUGUUGCUUGUGUUACACUCCGCAAGGUUGUAUACUCCAGAGCGCACUGGACAUUUUUGGCAUUCUCCUUAGUUUUUCUUACACCAGGCUUCAAGUAUACCGAGAGAGAGGGUGUUUUAAUAUUCUUAGCAACAUUAAUAAUCUCCCUCAACCUUGGAACACCUAAAGUAACAUUCUUGGCACUCACACCAGCAUAGUGAAAUGUAUUGAGGGUCAUCUGUGUAGCAGGUUCACCAAUGGAUUGUGCAGCAACACAUCCUAUCAUUUCUCCAGCAGCAACAAGUGACUGAAGAAAACGGGAUUCUAUCUCGCCAACUACCCAGUCAAAAGCCUCACGGGUAAGUCUGUACUCCUUCAGGACCCUUUUACUUGCUAAAGCACUACGAAGCAAUAUAUUGAAGAAAAGAGUAGCAUUCUUCUGUGCUUCCAAACUCAGAUAAUCAUCACCAACAACCACCUUAAGCCUUUCUUGUAACUUAUCAACAGCUUCUACAAUCUCCAUUGGAUGCAUAUCAGACGGUCUCCGAAAAUCAACUCUAAAGGUCUUUUGUGCAUUCAAAACAAGCCUCUUGAUGUUGACAGGGAGGGGCCAAGAAUUGUCACCCGUGGUGGCAAUCUCUGUUCCAAGUUGAUACCUAUCGGCUUCAAGUUUCUGAACCUCUGCAUCAAACACACUGCGAAUUUCACGAAUCGUUUUCAGAUCUUCCACAACUUCAGGUAACAUAUAAUUAGGAUUCCAGUUUGGGUGAUCAAUCUCAUAUUUGUACAUGUCAUUGAAAUCCAAUCUCUUCAACUUCAGUGAUUCCAAAUGCUGUGAUUCAAUCCAAACUGCAUCCAUACCAUCUUCCCCGUACAGAAACUGAAUCACAUCACCUAACGAAUUCCUAACAGUCCCAUCAUACUUAACCAUGAUAUCUUCCAUAGCCUUCACCAAUCGCCUCUGAAUAUAUCCAGUCUCAGAAGUUUUCACUGCAGUGUCAAUAAGACCUUCCCUACCACCCAUGGCAUGGAAAAAGAACUCUUGAGGAGACAAUCCUCGAAGAUAUGAGUUCUCCACAAAACCACGACUCUCUGGACCAUAAUCAUCUUUGGUGAAGUGUGGAAGUGUGCGAUCCACAAAACCAAAAGGAAUUCGCUUGCCUUCAACAUUCUGCUGACCCACACAUGCAGUCAUCUGAGAAAUAUUGAUGAAACUUCCCUUAGACCCUGCAGUGACCAUAGCUUUGAGGUUGUUACUUUCUGCCAAGCUCUUCUGAGCACUGCUUCCAGCAUCAUCACGAGCCUUAUUCAACACCUGAAGGCACAAAACAUAUAUCAGGAAUCAUCAGGCUGCAGCAAGGAAAUCACAUUUUUCAACAAACCUGGUUAACUCUGUUCUCGAACGAUUCCAUCAUUGUUCUUCCUGGCUCAGCUUCCAAUUGCUUUUCUUGUGCAGCCCUGAUAAGCUCAUUAACCUCAUUCUUAGCUUUGUUAAUAGUUUCAGAGAUCUUCGUCAUUGUAUCAUGAUCAGCAAUUGUAUCACCAAUUCCCAUGCUAAAAGCGUUCUGCAAAAGCCAAUAAUUGACAAGCCAUUGUGUAUGUCCCAAAAAAUUGCGAGCUGCAUCUGGACCGACUUCUUCCCUGAGACCAGUAUACAUUAUAUUAAACACAUAAAUACGAAUAAAGAAUCUUUCAUGGGCUUUCAGUUCAUUAUUAUUACUCCUUAUUUCAUGGACCAUAUCAAAUGUUUGGAUGUCACAAAUGCUAUAAUAUUCGACACAGAAGAGCUACUACGAGUGGAGGAAGACCAACAUAUGCAAAAGCUAAAUUGUUAGAGUACAGAAUUUUUCAAAAAGAUCCUCAUGUNNNNNNNNNNNNNNNNNNNNNNNNNNNNNNNNNNNNNNNNNNNNNNNNNNNNNNNNNNNNNNNNNNNNNNNNNNNNNNNNNNNNNNNNNNNNNNNNNNNNNNNNNNNNNNNNNNNNNNNNNNNNNNNNNNNNNNNNNNNNNNNNNNNNNNNNNNNNNNNNNNNNNNNNNNNNNNNNNNNNNNNNNNNNNNNNNNNNNNNNNNNNNNNNNNNNNNNNNNNNNNNNNNNNNNNNNNNNNNNNNNNNNNNNNNNNNNNNNNNNNNNNNNNNNNNNNNNNNNNNNNNNNNNNNNNNNNNNNNNNNNNNNNNNNNNNNNNNNNNNNNNNNNNNNNNNNNNNNNNNNNNNNNNNNNNNNNNNNNNNNNNNNNNNNNNNNNNNNNNNNNNNNNNNNNNNNNNNNNNNNNNNNNNNNNNNNNNNNNNNNNNNNNNNNNNNNNNNNNNNNNNNNNNNNNNNNNNNNNNNNNNNNNNNNNNNNNNNNNNNNNNAUAUAUAUAUAUAUAGAAACAAUGGUGUCAAAUGGCCACAUUGAACAUGACAAACACAAUAUUUGGCCACUAAUUAGAAAAAACACAAAUUAUGGCCAUUAAUUAGGCAAUAUGCCUAAUAUACCCCUAAUUGGGCGGACUGGUGAGGUAACAGACAGAUUUAAGCGGAAUGUUGAAUAUGGCAUAAUCUUGAUUCUGUGGCCCAUAAUGGACAUCUUAUGGAGACUCGGUUGCCGAUUGAACAGGACAAAGUCUCCAUCAUUUAAAUGUCUCUCAACCUAUACCAUCAAAUAAUAGGAAUCAGGUGUCAAAAGGAAUCCAAUGCUUGAUCAUUCUCAAUUAUAUAGCUGGGAGUCUCACCUUAUAUCCAAGUUCUAGAUGCUGAUCACUACUCUUUUCAAGUACCGGAGAUCAAGCCUCUGUCCAUCAUCCUAAUAAUAUAUUUGCGCCAGUUUACCAGGAGGGGAUGAGGUCCAUAUUCCACAAGCUCUUUCAAUCAUUUUCAAGGUCAAUAUCUGGUUAACAAGAAUAACAAAAAAGUAUAGAGGGAUCACUAUCAGAAAUAUGGUAAGAGUGCCUAACCUUUCGAUGUUAUAUGGAGUUACAGUUUCAGGAUAUGUAAGAUUUAAGGCAAUACUCCAAGGCACACCAGCUGGUCGAUGUUGAUUGUUGGGUCAGGUGUAAUCACAGUCCGAGCCGAAAAAUCUACUCGCUUACCCAUCAGUUACUCUGAUCUACCUGCUUUUGCCUUAAGCCUGCUACAUAUUGAUUUAAUGGGUCUGCCAGAUCUUUGGGUAGCCUGAUGUGUACAAGGAUACUUGUUAGAUAAAUGAUGUUCCAGGAACUGCAUGCACAGUCUCAAUAUACUGAAAUAAUAUAACCAUACUCUUGGUUGACCAGGUAAAUCGUUAUCAAAGUAUGUAGCCACAUGGAACUGCAGCAACUGUGCAAACUCUGAGAUGAUGUGUGCAGGAGCCCCAUUCCGCUCCUGCCUCUUUAAGUUCUCAUUGUGCCUAAUGAUCAUGGCCAGUUGAUGAGUUAAAUCAUCCUGCAUAAAUUGAUUCUAAUAUUAGAUUCUCGGUUCUCCUGCAACUUAAAAGCAGCAAUCUGAGGAACGUGCAAUUGACUGACUUAACCAGUUUUCAUUGAACAGAACCUGAAACACUUAUCUGAUAUUCUGAUCCAUAGGAAUUGUAAAGGUAGUCCAAUUAUUAGGGGUAAUCUAAGCCCCAAUAAAAUUGUAGAGAUCAAAAGGAGAGGUCAUGCCUCACUCGCAGAGGAAGUAUCCAUCAUUACAGAAGGCCUAACUGGAGGAGGAGGGAUCGGAAGAACUUGAAGAAUCAUCCAGUCAGGGCGAGCAUAUUUUGGAUUCAAGCCCAACAACUGACAAUCUUCAUCAGUAAUUCUCUUCAGUAUGCUGAGCACCUAAAAAAAAUUAGAGAUUGUUGAAAUUAAUGCAUUAAUUAACCUAUCGCAUUAUCCAGGUUGGAGUAAAAAGUUUGAAUAUCCCUAUUCUCUGGCAAUUUAUGAUAUAUAAUACAUUGAUACCUUCUCUGCAGAGAGAAGCUGUUUCCGUUCAACAGGUUCAGGCAUCUGAUCCUGGUCAUUACUUUUCUUCUUCUCAAUCUUGUAUUCAGCGACCAUCUUCAUCCCAUCGAUAGAAAUCUUAGGCUGCUGAGCACCACAUCCACCCCUAGACUUCUUCACAGGUUCUUCAGAAUCUUGACCUCGCACAUCGAUCUCAUCACCUCCUUCGCAUUUUGAUUUGUUUUUGCAGGCAUCUAAUAUCUUCUUUAAUCUAUUCUUAGGAUUUCUAAUUCUCAUUGCUUGCUUGAACUUGGUUUCCUCCUAGAAAAAAUUAAAAGUAACACAGUUAUUGAAGACAUAAUAGAACCAAAGAAGCCUAAAACUGGAUUGUUGCUAGUCAUAAGUCUUACUAUCCAGUCACUCUUGCAAGUAAUAAGAAUGUUACAAUUAAAGAACAGGGCCAUCUGAUCAGUUGCACAGUUCAGGAUGGUCAUGAAUAAGACAGAAGUCUGACCUCCUAGUAUACUAAUAUAUAAAUGAAAUAAGCAUUUCCCGUUACUCCAGCAUAUGCUAUAUGCUUCUGAAAAAUUCAGUCUGCUACCCAGGCCUCACAACAGCAGAAUCAAUAGUCAUACCCAAUAUCAAUCAAGUGAAGAUGACUGUACAAAUUCAUACUACUUAAACCGAAAGCGUCCAUAAACUUCAAUCUAACUACUCGGGAAACGUACAAUACCUCAUCAGCUAAAAUCUUGGAGCAAUUGAAGCAGACACUGCGGAGAAUACUGAGCACAGUCUUCAUGAACCCAACGUGAAACAUGGGUUUGGCGAGCUCAAGGUGACCGAAGUGACCGGGGCAAUCAGCCAUGUUCGCCAUACAAGUCUCGCACUUCAUCUUCCGAUCAAUCGUCCCCAGACGCGGGUCGCUCAAACCACCGAUCUUCGGCUUGCCUCUUUCCAUCGUCUCGCUGUGCUCUAUAUGCACAACUGACAUUUGUCUCUAUAAAACACACCAUAGAACAACAGACCGUCAUUAACCGAUUCCAACUCAAUCACAGACGCAAUACUGAAACUGAAAGUUCAAAACAUUCGAGGAAGUGAGAAUUACGAUCUCAUCGGGGCUUAGUAUGCCGAAUUGGACGACGCAGACCUUCGCAACCUCUGCCGGCGAGAAGGGGAACCGCAGAUCCAUUGCGACACCGGAAAUUGUACCCUAGGUUUUCGAUUAUGAUUUAUGAUGCUACUAAUAAUUUCAAAAUUAAAAACAAAUUAUGGUUUUUCAGUACUUCAAAUUAUUCUUGAUUUCUGUUGAGUAAUUAAUUUUUUGGGAUUUGAAAGAAACUUAUUUCGCGCUGCGCUCUCGUCUCAGAAGGUGGCGGUUUUGAGACCGAUGAAGAAGAUGGAGGAGAAUUGAAGGGGUAUGUAUUUAUAGAGAUGGACGGCUUGGAGGUCGGUGGGCUGUUUGGUUACACGGUUAAUGUAAAAUGGUAAAAUGUGAAAGGUGGAAGAAUGAAAGCGACUUUUUUCCCUUAUUUUUAGUAUUAUUAAUUUGAAUUAAUAUGUAUUUUAACUUUUAAUUAUUAAUUAAAAUUAUGAAAGAAUUAUAGAGAGGCUACAGGAAUUUUAUUCGCAAAUUUAUGGAGGCCAAGGAGAAAGGCCACCAGAAUUUUCUUCGUACAAAUUUAUAGAGGGUACACAGAUAAAUAGAGUUGUGCAUUGGUUUAGAACCAAACUGAUCCAACUCAUUAAAUCGAAAUUGAAUCUCUUUAAACCGAGAUCGAGAGGGAAGGGUCGGGAGGCCUACCGCAGUAGUGUACCGUCACACAGCCGCGCAGAGGGUGAGGUGUUAGGAUGGUGACGGCUCAGCGCUUGAGCUAAGGAAGAGGAGGGGGCCGAGAGGCCGAGGCCGAGACCGAGCCGAGAAGGUGUUUUUUCAGUUCCCGAUCUACCCAUGAUUGGGAAACCGAAACCAAAUAUGGCCGUUUUUUUGUAUCAAAAACUAUUCUUUUUUUUCGUACCGAAUCGAAUUAAACUGAAAAAUAUUUGUUCGAUCUAUUUUUUCAGUCUGAUUUGGUUUUGCACACUCCUACAAUAAAGGCUAUAAAGCUACUAAUUAUCUAAUUGAGAAAUUAAUUUAGAGCUAUAAGAGUUAAAUAAUUUUUUUUCUUAUUUAAGGGCUAUAAUAAAAUCACACAACAAAUGAUAUGUUCAUUUGCCAUUCAAUUCCAUUUUCAUUGUCCUAAACCAGGCCCAACAUUUAUUUUCGUGACAAAUGAGAGUCUAUGCUAAGCUAAAUAUUCAAAUUUCUCCAGUCCAAAUUAUAUAUUUGAAAAACUCGAUUUGAUUAUAUAUCUCUAAUUUAAUUAAACUAGUGUUUGCUUAGCUCAAAAAAAUUAAACGAGUAUUUGUACCCAUGCAAUACAUAGAUUUUUUUAUAUUUUUAUAUGUAUAUAAAAUUGAUACAAACUCAAUUAUCAUAUUUAUAAAUAUAAUAAAAAUAAUAUUUUUAACCACAUAUAUUUAAACUGAAUAUUAAAAAAAUAAAAAGAACUCACAAUAAUAAAAUUUGAUAUUGUGAAAAGGAAAAAGAAAGAUAAACAUGAAAAUGAAAAUGAAAAAAAAAAAAGACUUGAAAUAUAUAUUUAUUUAAAAAAAAAAGAUGAGAGAUACGAGAUUUUUUUAAAAAAAAUUAAGUGAAGAUAAUAACUUGUACAUUUUAAAUUAAAUUUACAUAAAAUAUAUUAAAUUAAAACUCUUAUCGUGAUCUUUAAUUUGGUAUGCAUAUUAAAUAUUUAUAAUUAGUGGAAUUUCACAAUUUUAGAAAAAAAAAAGUAAAAAGAUAAAGAAAAAGAAAAUGAAAAUGAAAAUAAAAAAUGUAAUGUAAAGUAUAAUAUUUCGUGCAGGUAGUGGUCCAUUCAAAUGGAUUUCUUUAUCUCAAUUACCAUUGCAAUGGCAUAAAUAUUUGCCUCACAAUGAAUAACAUUACACACCUAAAAAUAUUUGUCUUCCUAUUCGAGAAUCACAUCUCAUUGCAGAGCCCCUUCAAUUUUGAGGCCCAAUAACACAUUCACUAUGGGUCGGCCUCUCAUUUAAAUGAAUUAUUAGCCCAUCUCAUAGGCUCAAUCCAACAAUUAUUAAAGAAAAGUCCCCUUAAAACACCUUAGUGGUAAAUUAAUGGGCUCAAGGUAUAGUGAAAAAUGACUAUUAUUUCUACAUUUGUAUCUACACAGCUGUAAUUUCAUAUUACUAUAUGCUUUUGGAUAGGAUUUUGACUCUUCAUUUAUAUCAUGCAAAUGAGAUUUUUAAUAAUUGAUUUGAAUCAUUGGCUUAUAAUAUAGUUUGAGUCUAUUAGUGCCUUGCAAUGUAACAUUAAGGUUGCGUUUACUUUUAUGGAUAAAUUUAUCUAUAAAAAACAUGGAUAACAAAAAUUUAUGCCCUUUAAAUAUCUCCUUUAUUUUCCCACAUUUUACACAAAAGAAAGAGAAGUUCACCAUAUCCAUCCUUGAAGUGAAAAUAAGGAAGAAAAAAUAUUUUUGUGUCAAAUGUUGAAAAAGAAAUGAGACAUUUAAAGGCAUAAAUUUUUAUUAUUCAUCCUCUUCGGAUAAAGAAUACAUGGCACAACUAUGCCCACGUCUCCCUUUUACUUCUUUAAAAUACGCACCUUACUUAUAUUCUUUAGAUUGCUCCAGCCAACUUCAUGGUAAAAACCAAAACCUUCUUCCAUCUCUUUCAAUUUUCUUCACACAACAUUUCUAACAACUUAUGAUUUAUGCUAAAUUUGCAUAAACAACAAAUCAAAACUAAAUCCACUUACUGAAGGUUUUUACAUCAUUCAUUAUGUAUUUACUUCAGCAACACCAGUGGGGUUUCAACCCACACACACACAAUUGCUCAGUGUUCAUCUAUGUUGCACAGGUGCGAGGGGCGGGUGCUGGAGCGAUACGAUUCGGAUGCGGGGAUACGGAUUUUCAAAAAUUAUAGGGUACGAUUCGUGAAUGAUACGUCUGUUAUAUUUAUAUAUUUUUUAUUAUAUGUGACCAAUCAAAUUGAAAAAAGAAAAGAACAUUCACAAAUUAAAUAUUGCAUUGCAAAUAUAAGUUAAAUAAAAAUUUCAAUAAUGAAGUUCUUCAAAAAUUGCAAAAGAGCCCAAAAAUAAUGAAAAAAAUUCGCAUUGCAAAUAUAAGUAAAGUAAAAAUUUCAAUAAAUUGCAUGUAAAAGUUUCAAAUUGCAUGUAAAUAUAAAUCAAAAAUUACAAAAAAGCCCAAAAAAUAAUUGAAAAAAUUGCAAAAAAAUCCAAAAAUAAUUGAAAAAAUUGCAAAAUAGCCCAAAACGCACCCUAAACGCACCCUAUUUGUGGGUGCGCGAAUCGGAUUCGCGAAUCCCCCCUUUUUUUUUUGAGGGGAUUCGCCACCUGGCGAAUCCCGUGCGAAUCCCACGCGAAUCGCACCCGCACCCUACGCGUAUCCGAUACUGCACUGUGCUAUUUUUUUUAAGAAUCUGUGCAUCAUAGGUGUUCAUUAUAUGUAUACACUACUUGUAUAAAAAUUGAAUUUACAGAUCUAGAUAUGCAUUGAAAGAAUAUAUAAUUACAUGACAAUUACAAACUCUAAAUUGAAAUUACGGACGAAGGGAGUAAAUGACAUUUUUAAUAAUAAAAAUGAUACUAUGUCUGAUUAACUGAGGCAGAAAGAGUGAAAAUGGGACAGAGUAUGGGGAAGGGUUGGGCGAACUAAGGCAGAAAGAGUGAAAAUGGGAAAGAGAAUGGGGGAGGGUUGGGCGGGCCAAGCUCAACGCGGACACAGGUUUGAUCCAAUCGCAUAGUUUUACCUGACUGAAAAGUUUUUCAAGAUUAAAUAUAAAAUUCCAAAUAAACAUAUACAAUGUAUAUAUAUUUCUAAAAUUUUCCCAUUUUAUUAUUAAUAAUUAAUAAAAGUAAUAAAUUUAGAAAUCUUUAUAUUUAUUAAUAAAAUAUCAAAUUUACAAUAGGUACUAUAUUUUCUAUGCAACAUUAAAUUUAUAUGUAUCGCGAGAAAGGCGUACUAAUUUAUAAUUACAAAAAAAAAAUGCACCCCCACAACAUUGAAUUGCCAAGAAAUUUCAUUUUUGUGUGGUGGUAACCUUUGUCUUUCUCGAUCUUUAUUCAAUUCAAUCCACUAAAUGGCAAAUUUUCAUUAAAAGGAUAUAAAUGAUGGAUGCCUUAUAACUAGGGAUGUCAAUGAGGAUCGAAUCCUAUAAAUAUCAUAUCCAGAUUCGUGGGAUGUCAAUGAGUCGGAUUUGAAUCGGAUCCUAUAAAUAUCAGAUCCAGAUUCGUUUUAUUUUCACAGAUCUAGAUCCGCCCUAAAUUCGCCGGAUUUAAAAAUUUGUGAUCAAAAUUCAUAUCCGUCAGAUCUGCGGGUCUACCGAUCUAGAUCCACAGAUCUACUAUUGUAUUAAUUUUUAAUAUUUAUUUUUAUAUAUUAAUAUUAAUAUUUAUAUCUAUGUUUAAUAUUUAUAUUGUGUAAAGAUUAUUAUUGCAUGUGUAUUGAUUUUUAAAGUAUUAGUAUUGUGUAUUGAUUUUUAAUAUUUAUAUUUAUGUUUUAUAUUAAUAUAAAAUAUAAAUAAUACUAUAUAUUAAGAAAAUGGAUCCAUGGGUCGGAUCUGGGGCGGAUCCGGAUCUAAAAAUUCAAGAUCCAGUUCCAAAUCCGUUUUAUAAAUUGAGUUCCAGAUCCGGCCCAAAUCCAUCGGGUCUAAAAUUUUAAGAUCCAGACCCUGAAAAACGGAUUCGAAUCCACGAAUUUGGGUUGGGUCCAAUAUCCAUUGCCAUCCCUAGGGGUGGGACGGUACGGUAUACCUUAAUAAAUUGUCAAUACCUUAUACCUUACCUUUACCUCCGGUAUGGAGAAAUUUCAUACAUUUACCUUACCUUUAACUACGGUAUACCUUAAAUUACGGUAUGAAAAAAUCUCAUACAUUUAUCGUACCUUUGUUUCAGCAUACCGUACCGUACUUCGGUAUACCGCGGUUAACUGCGGUAUACCGUAUCAUAUUUCGGUAUACCGCACUUACACGGUAUAUUGAAAUUGAUAAAUUUCGGUGAUAAUAUCGAUAAUUUUGUUUUAAACUUGCUUACCUGAUAAAAACUAUCAAACGAAUAUAAUGUCAACAAUAAAACUCAAACGCAAUAAAAUAAAUAAAAUACAAAAUUUGUUCCCGUCUUAGCAAUUUCACAAGUCUACAAUAUAACAACAUUAACAUUACUAUAACUUAAAUAAACUGAAUAUUAUAUUAUAACUAUGUUAUAACCCUAUAAUAUCAAUAUAAACAAUACUAUAAUUCAAUUAUAUAUAUUAUACUAUGUUCAUUUUUAUAUUGAUGAUAUUUAUAUUCUCAUACUUGUAUAUACAUAUUCAUGUAAAUAUAGAUGUUAUAAGUUAGAUGUAAUUUAUUGUAGAACAAUAAUCUUAGUUAUAUACUAUAAAAUAUAACUAUAUAACUGACAUAAGGUGAAUAUUAU
rnacentral:lncRNA from 1 species